rnacentral:rRNA from 1 species
AACGAACGCUGGCGGCAUGCCUAACACAUGCAAGUCGAACGAGACCCUCGGGUCUAGUGGCGCACGGGUGCGUAACGCGUGGGAAUCUGCCCUUUGCUUCGGAAUAACAGUUAGAAAUGACUGCUAAUACCGGAUGAUGUCGAAAGACCAAAGAUUUAUCGGCAAAGGAUGAGCCCGCGUAGGAUUAGGUAGUUGGUGGGGUAAAGGCCUACCAAGCCGACGAUCCUUAGCUGGUCUGAGAGGAUGAUCAGCCACACUGGGACUGAGACACGGCCCAGACUCCUACGGGAGGCAGCAGUGGGGAAUAUUGGACAAUGGGCGAAAGCCUGAUCCAGCAAUGCCGCGUGAGUGAUGAAGGCCUUAGGGUUGUAAAGCUCUUUUACCAGGGAUGAUAAUGACAGUACCUGGAGAAUAAGCUCCGGCUAACUCCGUGCCAGCAGCCGCAGUAAGAC